AAAACCAGUUUACUCAUUGUGUGCUUCAAUAAAAACCUCUAACAUUAGCAAGAUGAAAAAUGUCACAAAAAGACCUCUGCACAAAACUGAGGACCUAAGGAAAGACCCUCUAGCAAUAAACAGAUCUAGGGUUGCAUGUGAAAGCACUGCAAGCAGCUUCCAGUACUCCAGCAAGACAGCACACAGUUUCCCAGCAUGAGAAGAUUUUUUCCAGGCCCAAUUUUUCUCCUAAAAGAAUACUUGGGCUGCCAGGUUCCCAGCUGUCUGCAUUGCUGCAGAUUUCAGAUUAUUUUUAUGUUACAAGAGGGAUAGGAAAACACAGAGGAAAUGUAACUUAUUCACCAGAACACAGAGAAGAGGCUGAGUGGCUGACAGGCUCCUGGCUUAUUUUGUAAACAUCCCUUGAGAAUAUUCUGCUCACAGAUGCGUUUCAAAAGAACAGCAGUAGGUGGUAAACAAACACCAUACACCUUUCACCAAGGAGCUUCAGUCAUAUCUUCCUGAUCUUAAGCUAUCAGAUAUGCAACAAUCCACUAUACAACAUAAUUUCUUGAAAUGCAUUUUCAAAAUAUACAGUAUGCAUGCGCACACAAGAUAUUUAUACUUGGGCAUUAGCUUUUGAUGAUAUAGGACUGACUUGGCAGAAAUACAGAAAUUCUGGUUUUCUUCAGCAGCAAAAUGCUACAUGAAAAGCUACAAAAAUUAUUUUAUUCUCUAGAUCAAAUUCUAAUGAAUUUUAAUUUUUCAGUGACAGAGAAAAAUGCUCUGUUCUUUUCUCCACCAACUGAUCAGACAUAUUAAAAGCAAAGAAUGCCAUUACAGAGUAAUAUAAUUUUCUGCUUGAGAUAGCACUUAAAAUGUUAACCAAUUGCCUGUGUGUUUAAGCCAGAAACUUGUUUGAUCAAAUUAUACUUUCUAGUCCCUACCUGAGGGAAUUAAGGCAAACAGACUCCACAGUUCUCUUGACACUUCGAUUCAACAGUUAACCAACUUCAGCUAGCAAAAAUUUCCCAUUUAAUUUGAAUUUUUCUGGGUUCAGCUUUCAGACAUCUAUGCUUAUUUAGACAAAAUAGGUACUUUUCUAUAAUAAUUUCCUUCAAGUGAAGGUACCACAACAUAGCCACCAAGGUACUGCUUCAUCCUUCUGACCACCCAAACAUAUCCUUAAAUCAAUCACUGAAGAACAGACUUCAACUAAAUCAUGGUUCCUUUUUCCUCCUUCCUCCCCUCAGUAUAUCGUAAAUUUGGAUUGAGUGCAAAGUAUUCCAGUACUGGCAAACUGUGCUUAAAGACACAGGGAUGUUCUCCCCUAUUUGAGGGGAGAUUGGACAUCUUGCACUGCAGCACACUUGGAGCUCAUACUAAGUCACUAAUCUAUUGCCAAAACCACUGAACCACUGCUGUACAGGCACAUCUCCCAGUUCAGUGUCCUCAGAACCACUGCUGUACAGGACACAGCUCCCAAUUCAGUGUCCACAAAAUCACUGCUGUACAUGAGAGAGCUCCUUAUUCACUAAUCAUGGGUUAGCUCACCCUCAAUAUCUGACUUUGCCAGGAACAUAAUAAAACAGUUACUUGAACGGACGUCACAUGAUGUCAACUACUCCAGAAUGCUUUCCUUUCUUCUUGACUGUUCUUUAUGCUGCUGUCCCUUAUGCAGAUAGAUAAUUAAGUAUGUGUCUGAGUAUUAGCCUAAACUACAGAACGUCCUUGAGUGGGGAAACACACAAACUUGCAUUUAAGAAGCUGUAUUUCAGUUGAGUACCAGAAACAAGGUUGUUCUCCAAAGGUCUGAUGCUCUGUGCUUCUGUGGCUCGAUUCCUUCCAGUACCUGAGCUCACUCAUCCAAAACUAGCAGGUUAGUUCUGCUCUCCCCAGCAGCAAUUGAACACAGUAAGAUUUAAAGUUCUUUCUCACAUAAGAGACACUACUCUGAUCCUGGCUGUAGAGUUGCGCUGAGGAUUGCAGCUGAAUAGUAUAACCCUCCUCUUCAGUCCUCCCCCAUUUCCCAUCUACCUCUGAGGAAACCCUGUUCUCUUUUCCACUUCUGUAUCUCAUAAGUUCUUAGAGCCAUUUCACGUGCUGCCUUGACUCUCUUAUGCUUAUUGCCAUAAACUUCCCUCCAAGUUCUGUAAUAUAAGGAAAAACAUGAGACUGUCUACUGUAAAAUGCUCCCUAUUAUCAAAAAAAUUCACCUGAAAAACAAACCACCCAUACAAUCAAAGAGCAACUCUGCAAGCCAAAGAUCCUGUUAAACAGAUGGCUGAAUGCCACCCUGGAUAACUCAAAUUAAUCUCCUCACUUGUUUACUAAAAAAGAGAGAUACAACCUCAAAGUUGGGUAUACAGAGCCAGCUAAAAACACAGGAACAAAAAACAAUUGAGGGAAAUUUGAGCAUUUGUGUUAAUCCAUCAAAGUAAUUGUGGAAACCUAUAUACUUAUAGAUAAAACACUGCCAUUAGCAGUGCAAAAGGCAGAUAACAGCCUGUCACUAUUGGCAAAGAAAGAACACCGCUCCCCUCUUCUCAAGUGCUGAAGUAUCAAGAUAUUUCCAUAACUUGAUUAACUUUUGGUAAAGCCUAAGAAUCGGUCAAGACAAUAUUAUCUCAGUACUAUGGUGACAAGCACCUUGAGCUACUUCUCUGAACCUCCUUCCAUCAAUUUUAACUAUCAUUUGAGCUUACUGUGCAAACUAGCAAUGCACCGUGCCAACACCAUCUAAAGAAACAGCCUGUACUUUUAUAAUACAGUUAAAUGAACGUGCUCCUUGCAAAGGCCCUCUGUGAAGUGCAAGACAGUACAAACAAGAUCCUAUGUUCUGCUAUGUUUAAGUCCACGGCCAAUAAAGCACAGGAAUUAAAGCCAUGACUUUGAACACAAACACUGCUCUCCUCCGUGAUACGAAAUGAUGGCAGUGAGUUGCAUCGAAGAGAAAAACAACAGUGUACUUCUAAUUGGUGUUCAGCACUUGGAAGAAGCACCUGAUAGACCUUCGGAGUUCCUGUAUGACAUUUUCAACUGUGGGAUCUACUGUACUUUUCCCAAGCUGGAACCCAGUAAGUUUAAACUGCCAACUGCUUCAAAAGAACUGUGAGAUUAUUCUGCAUUCAGACUCCUGGGUUCUCAUACUAAUUGGCCCAAAUUUACUGCAAAAUGUGAACACUACAGAAAAAGCCCAGCUAGAGCUGAGCAACUUUGGAAGAGAAAUUUGCACCAUCUGCAGCCCACCCCAGUAAGAACUGUCUGUGAGAUCAUGAAGUCCAUGGUGAUGUGCAUGCUCUACUCUGGGACCUACACAAUUCCCAAAGCACUGUUGGAUUCAUAAACUUCAUAAACAACUUUCCUCCAGAGAAGGAGCCAAUCCUGAGAAGUGGAGACUUAUUUCUAAAGCAAGUGCUUCUAAGCAAUUCUGAACUUAAAAAGGGUUACCUCUUAUACCUAGUGGGAAAUAGAAGAUAUCUUCAACUAUUUUAUCAGCAGUGAAAUGACCUAGGCAAGAGCUUGAUGAAUGUGGGAAACAGGACAAAUAAUACCAACUGGAAAUCAGACAACACUUGUUAUUUCUAUUUUUCUACCAUCCUACACACAACACACCAGGUAAUUAAUUUACUUGCAAUUUAAUAACUGAAAAUAAAUCCAAUAAUUAUUAAGUAUUUUUUAUUCUAACACCCCACCCAUCCUAAAUCCUUAUUUAUAACUAAUUUUCUUUUAUUUUUUUUCUGCCUCAGCAGCUUUCUUAUCCUUCCACUGAUAAAUUUUUCCUGCAGUUCCUAUAAUCUUUAUCUAUAAUCUUCAUUGGGCUGUGUUUGUUGUUGAUGAUGGCUCACACUCCAUUCUGUUGCCCAGUUUUAACAUGCUAACUCCACCUCACUUUACAAAACAUGACCCAACCUUCAUCUCCCAUUUGCUUUAACUUGAGAGUGGAUUAUUUUCCUACAAGGCUUGUGACUGAAGAUAAAGGAUUGUCAGUCUCUCAACUACUUCUUUAAAUAAAAAUACAUACUUAGUGCUAUUCGACAGAGGUGGGGGGGAAGAAAAAAACAGAUCAGUGGAAUUAGCAUUCAAGUAGAAAGAAAUGAGCAAACACACACUAGCAACCUUGCUGUUCUGCCACCCAACCACUGCUUUCACUAAAGGGUGUUGCAUUUGAAAGUCUUCAGAGUUGCUCCUGAUGCACUCUAGUUAAAAAAGUAUCAUUAAUCUAACAUAUUGCUUCCGCCAAAAGGCACAACCAAGGAAUCCAAUUACAGUUCAUGUUUGAGAGAAUGUCUGGAGAGGAUAUAUGAUAUGGAAAUUCAAAUAAAAAUUUACAUCUUCAUGCAUGUUUCACCUCAAAUAUUUCUCAAUCCUGACAUCAUCUUGUGGAAAGUCUUAGCAAAAACCACUAAUUAUACAGACUGUGUUUAAUUUAAUUAAAAAUAUAGCCACUAUCACUAACAGCUCAGAUGAGUGCAGAUAAACAUCUAUUCAGACAUGUGCCUAUGUAUAUCUGAGUAUGUAAUACACAUUAUCCACAGAAACAUUUCUCACACAGAACAGCAAGCUAGACAAUAAAAACACCAUUCAAUCACACACCACCUCUAAAGCACUUGGAGUCGCUACAUUUCAGAGGAUGUUAGUGAUUUUUUUCCUUACAUUCUGUCUUUCCUGGGUUACAUAACUGAGUUUCUCUUUCCUCCUAUAAGAACAUGGAUAAGGCACAGAUUUCAUCAAUAUAACAAUGAGAUAUGGGACCCUCAGCUUCUGGGGUUUAAUAAAGACUGUACACAAUCUGUCCCUGCUUUUGAACCUGUACAAGAAAAACAAGUCUGAAAGAAGAUUUGCAAACUAUUCCUUUAAGAACUGAGUUGCAGAUCAGAAUCAGACUGAUACUAUCUCCAAUCACUCUAACAGGAGUUUUUAUUGCUCCCCAGUGUAUUUAUUUUGCCUCAAAGCACAAAGAGUCCUAAUUUCCAGAAGAUUUUAAUUUUGUUUUCAUUGUGCCAUAAUAAAAUACAUUUUACACAAGUGCUAUUUACAGUAAGCAUUCAAAUUAGGUUGAACUCCCUGGACAUCUCACCUCACUGCUAGGGUCUGAAAUUAAAAGCAAGAUAUGCUGUGUGUCCACAGCAUCCAUUUUCUUGGCUGCUGCACCUUUUUCCAACUUGUCUUGUUUCACCUUAACAAGUUUGCUAUUUUUUUGUAGCUUGAGCAUCCCACAUCUGGUAGAAAAACCAAGUAUUCAAGUUUCACAUGAGUGGAAAAACAUUUUACCAGAAGUUCAGUUGGCAGCAAAUUUCUCAGGUGCUAAAAAUAGUAGCCAUAAAUAAAGUGAUCAUAAAUAAUCCUAAUUCAAUUACCUAACCUGAUAACUGGCCAAAUCCUUGCAAGAAGUUCCACAAUCAUCUAUAAAAUCAUCAUACUGGAAGGAUUGCUUGAUAUCAUUCAUUCAACAAGUGACAGAACAAGAGGCCUCAAGUUACACCAGGGCAGGUUUAGACUGCAUAUUAGGGAACAUUUCUUCACCAGAAGAAUCAUUAAGCAAUGGAAGGGAAAUGAUAGAACCACCAUCCCUGGAGGGGAAAAGGUGUAGCUGCAGCACUUAAGAACAUGGGUUUGUGCUGAGUUAACAGUCGGGUUUGAUAUUAAAGGUCUUCUCCAACCUAAAUUAUUCUAUCAUUUACAAGACAUUAUUUACCAUGGCAAAUAAUUCAUAGGGAUUAUGGACACAUUUUUAUACAUAUCAAGUUUCACAAGCAUUUUCAGGUUAAAAAGAUCUCAAGAAGUACAUAUUGCUUUUUCUCACAAUACAUCACAAGGACCAGGAAGCAUCACACCUUGUGAGCUUUUGAAAAUUCAAAUGUUUGUAUUGCAAACUCCACAAAUGACAGUAUGUGUCAAAAAACAGGAGCACAGUGUGCUGUGCUUUACCUCCACUAUUCCAUCAUUUUUCCAAAAGUACACAUCAUGCAGCAUAAAUGGCAAUUAGAACAACUACAGAAGAGAGAGAAAAAAACCAAAAAUUACCAAAGACCUUGUAUUUAAAUGAUACUGAAGGCAAUGAGGGAUAUACCUUGAAAAACUGACAUAUUCACUCAGAAGACAUAUUGUUGGAUUCAGUUAUUUCCCAAAGGGAAGGUCAGAGAGAAAUUACAGAAAAGACUAACGAUAGUAUGAAGGAGGGAGGAAGCUUCAGGAUGUCAAAUGGAAGGUAAUGGAGCAGGAAGGCCAGCUGACAGUGGCAACAAAGAAUGGGAGACAAAAGGCUUUAGUCAAGUCCAGAAAAACUGAACAACAGAAUACCUGAAUGCCUGUCAGUAUCUGAAAUUCUUAUGGCUCCCUUUUGAUGGGAAAAAUGUGUAUAUAGGAAGUGUAACAUUUGAUGAACAAAGUGGCAUUGCUAACACUGGGGAGAAAAAGGAAAAAACCCAAGAAAUACAAGUUUAAUUUUUAGGACUGGAAGAUGACUGUUCUGCUCAAGACAGCAUUUCCACAUCCCUCACAUAUCAAAACCAAACAUUUCAGCUGUGUUUAAUACACACUGCAAUAGGAUGUCAUGUUCAGGUUUCAUGCAGUAGUGAACCAUGACCUUCAUAGUAGGUUCUUCUCAUUCACCAUUGUGCUAGAGCUGCCAAGUCUUAUUAACUUCAUGAAGCUAACAAGGUAAUAAAAAUUGUCUGACAGGCCAAGUACUUUCAGGGUGAGAGGAGUCUGGUACCCCAUUUAAGACUUGUGUUUGCUAACAAUACUGGACAAUUCAAAGGUUAAUCACCAGACAAGAUAUUUCUAAAUGGUCCCUAAUGGGUGGAGUUUCAAUUUUGAGCACUUUACAAGGAACAAUUUAGCUAAAUGACCUGCCUGAAUCUUAUCUAGGAUUAAAUCAGAGUUUCUCCUGUGGAAAAAGAGAGGAACCUCAUCUACCUAUAUUCAAAGCCAAAAACAUUUCUUUCAAGUUUUAGUACAUAUGAGAGAGCAUAGUUAACUAAGCAGUUUAGCAUAGUUAUUUUUCCAGCAAGGGAACUGAUUUUAACAGCACACCACUAAAAAAUAAUGGUAACAAGAUAAGAGCGCCUCACUUCACAUUAUUUCUGUAGACAGCAGCACUUCAGGAAAGCUGGGGGGAAAAAAACGUAGACAUUUUAAGUGUACAAAUGACUUGAAAAUUGUGGCCCUUAUCAUCCACAAAUAACUGACCUAUCAACCCCAGUCAUCAUAGAAUUGGCUUUGACUAAUUGUUUCAUUAAAGCACUUGAAUAAAGGGAGUUGAAGAUUUCUUUACUAUCUUCAACAGUGCAGUCCACACAUGAAAAGAAAGUUUCUGUGAACUUGUUACUGCAAGGAUACCAGCAAACAUGA